rnacentral:rRNA from 1 species
AUUGAACGCUGGCGGCAGGCCUAACACAUGCAAGUCGAACGAGUGGCGGACGGGUGAGUAAUGUCUGGGAAACUGCCUGAUGGAGGGGGAUAACUACUGGAAACGGUAUCUAAUACCGCAUACCAUACGAUGUGCCCAGAUGGGAUUAGCUAGUUGGUGGGGUAACGGCUCACCAAGGCGACGAUCCCUAGUUGGUCUGAGAGGAUGACCAACCAUACUGGAACUGAGACCAGGGCCAGACUCCUACGGGAGGCAGCAGGGGAGAAUAUUGCACAAGGGGCGCAAGCCUGAUGAAGCCAUGCCGCGUGUAUGAUGAAGGCCAUCGGGUUGGAAGGGACUUGCAGCGGGAAGGCGUUGCCCGUAGAAGAAGCACCGGCUAACUCCGUGCCAGCAGCCGCGGUAAUUC